GAAUACAAACCAACAGACUGUAGACAUAUUCUGAACGCUGUCCUAGAUCACGUGAAGGCACAGCUUCAGAGCCACCAGGAGAGUUCCAGGCGCCGCGGCGGGGGGACUGGGAGAGAGGACUGCGCCCAGAAUGAAGGCUCGGGACAAAAGCAGUUGCGCAAACGCGCCAAGGCUGGGCGUCGAGUGACCGCGGGCGGAGGUCACCAGCGGCC
rnacentral:sRNA from 1 species